rnacentral:misc_RNA from 1 species
AUGAAAUUGACCAGAAAUUCAUAUUUAUAUUAUUCAUAUAUUACAUAUAUGAAUUAACACGUCUAUAGGUCUUUUAUUCAAAAUAAUAAAUCAAUAACUGCAGUUAAAUGUCAAGAACUACCUGUGCAUCAAAUUAAUUCUGAAAUUAGUGACAAGAUUUUAGAAAUAGUUUCAGAUUUGUGGGAUGAUUUAGAAGUUUUGGCUUGGUAGGCUUAGAAGGGGCCCUAAAGGCAGUCCAUCUCUCUUUAACCCUCUCAGUAUGCCUAAUGUCAAUAACCCUCUCAGUAUGCAUAAUGUUCUCUUGGACAUUAUGCCAUCAAGCAUUGCUUACAAAUGCUACACACACUAACAAGUCUCUAUAUGAUAUAAUUAGCAAGCUUUACAACCAAAACCAGCGAAGCCAUUGAAGAAUCAAAAUAAGGGUUCAUAUGUCUUUCCUUUGGAAUAUGUGUUUUAACA